rnacentral:rRNA from 1 species
AGAGUUUGAUCAUGGCUCAGAACGAACGCUGGCGGCAGGCUUAACACAUGCAAGUCGAACGAUGUUCGUCCUUCGGGGCGGGCAUAGUGGCGCACGGGUGAGUAACGCGUGGGAACCUGUCCUAUGGUUCGGGAUACCUCCGGGAAACUGGAGUUAAUACCGGAUGUCUCCUGAGGGGGAAAGAUUUAUCGCCAUAGGGUGGGCCCGCGUCCGAUUAGCUAGUUGGUGGGGUAAAGGCCUACCAAGGCUUCGAUCGGUAGCUGGUCUGAGAGGAUGAUCAGCCACACUGGGACUGAGACACGGCCCAGACUCCUACGGGAGGCAGCAGUGGGGAAUAUUGGACAAUGGGGGCAACCCUGAUCCAGCCAUGCCGCGUGAGUGAUGAAGGCCUUCGGGUUGUAAAGCUCUUUCGACGGGGACGAUGAUGACGGUACCCGUAGAAGAAGCCCCGGCUAACUUCGUGCCAGCAGCCGCGGUAAUACGAAGGGGGCGAGCGUUGUUCGGAAUUACUGGGCGUAAAGGGCGCGUAGGCGGCGCACCAAGUCAGGCGUGAAAGCCCUGGGCUUAACCCAGGAACUGCGUUUGAGACUGGUGUGCUGGAGUGCAGGAGAGGUCGGCGGAAUUCCCAGUGUAGAGGUGAAAUUCGUAGAGAUUGGGAAGAACACCGGUGGCGUAGGCGGCCGACUGGACUGUAACUGACGCUGAGGCGCGAAAGCGUGGGGAGCAAACAGGAUUAGAUACCCUAGUAGUCC